rnacentral:rRNA from 1 species
GAUGAACGCUGGCGGCGUGCCUAAUACAUGCAAGUCGAGCGAACAGACGAGGAGCUUGCUCCUCUGACGUUAGCGGCGGACGGGUGAGUAACACGUGGAUAACCUACCUAUAAGACUGGGAUAACUUCGGGAAACCGGAGCUAAUACCGGAUAAUAUAUUGAACCGCAUGGUUCAAUAGUGAAAGACGGUUUUGCUGUCACUUAUAGAUGGAUCCGCGCCGCAUUAGCUAGUUGGUAAGGUAACAGCUUACCAAGGCAACGAUGCGUAGCCGACCUGAGAGGGUGAUCGGCCACACUGGAACUGAGACACGGUCCAGACUCCUACGGGAGGCAGCAGUAGGGAAUCUUCCGCAAUGGGCGAAAGCCUGACGGAGCAACGCCGCGUGAGUGAUGAAGGUCUUCGGAUCGUAAAACUCUGUUAUUAGGGAAGAACAAAUGUGUAAGUAACUAUGCACGUCUUGACGGCACCUAAUCAGAAAGCCACGGCUAACUACGUG